AUAUGGUGGAUUUGUGUGAAUUUCUUGCUUGUGGGUUUUAUUUUGCAUGUGGAUCAAUUUUCAAAGUUAACUACAAAAGCCCAGUGUUUGCAUGUUGGUUAAUUGAGUUAAUUUGGUUUGAAUGUUGUGUUUGUUAACUUUGCAUGUGGGAUUAAUUGGGUUGGUUUUGUAUUGAUUCUUGGUGUUUGUGUUUUGCAUGUGAAUGAAUUUCAAGAUUCAGUGGAAGAACUUAAUUUGAGCUGGUUAGUUUAGUUUGAUUUGUUUGCUGAAUUUAAAUGAGGUGAUCUAGUGUAUUUCGCUGCUUUUGUUGGUAUUGCAUGUUUGAAUACUUUGUUAAUUUUGGGUUUUAUGUUGAUCAUUGUGCUGGGCAUUUGAUUAAUUUCAGGAUUUAAGUGUGAAAACUCUGUUUAAGUUGAUGAAAAGUGAUGAUUAACUCAUUGCAUGUUUUAUACAGUCUGUCUGGAAUGCUCUCUGUCUAUGGAGAUUGACUCUAUAUUGUUUAAUAAAGGGCAGAAACAAAAAGUUGGAACCUUUUAGGUAAUCUUGAAUAACAAAAAAUUGUUUUAAAAUUCGCUUGGAUUAAAGUUUAAUAACUAACAUUCAUUGAAUUCGUGCCCUUUUGGGGCCUUCCUUUGUCUUGCUUUUCUUUUUCCUUGUUUUGGUCGUGGUUUUAGCGGCGGUGGGUUGCCGGGGUGGGGUAGUGUGCUUUCUGUUACCAUUAAUUUCUGGAAUGAAGUAGACAUUUACUUCAUUUUCACUCUGGUUUAGUUCUUUAUUACUUUCGUGAGACAUUCUUUUUCCCUGCUCAUGUUAUUGGAUCCGCCUUUAUGGGAUAUCGCGGAUCUUUCAGGUGUGUCGUGUAUCUUAAUUUGUCUACUUAAUAUACGUGUGUGUUGGUUGUAUAUAUCAUAUAUACAAUAACGACACGACAUUAUCACGCAUAAUAGGGUCAUAACGACAAGCUAAUGAUUUGUCGGUCGUACGGCUUUGUCAUUUCAGGCAUAUGCUAGAAGAUGAUCUUUCAGUUGUGCUGUGUAUCUUUGUCUCUGACAUUUGAUGUACAUGUGCGUUGGUUGUAUAUAUCAUAUAUACAAUAACGACAUGACAUUGUCAUGCAUAAUAAGGUCAUAACGACAAGCUAAUGAUUUGUUGGUUGUACAGCUUUGUCAUUUCAGGCAUGUGCUAGAAGAUGAUCUUUUUGAUGUGUCGUGUAUCUUUGUCUCUGACAUUUAAUGCACGUGUGCGCUGGUUGUAUAUGUCAUACAAUAACGACACGACGUUAUCACGUAUAAUAGGGUCAUAUCGCCAAGCCUAAGAUGUUGGCUGUUGACGACAAGCUAAUGAUUUGUCGGUUGUACAGCUUUUUCAUUUCAGGCAUAUGCUAGAAGAUGAGUUCGAAGACCAUUUUAGGCUGUAAAGAUUACUUCCAAAGUAUUAGGCAAAUAAGCACCAGAAGGUUAAAUUAACACAGAAGUCAACUCUGUAUAGAGGAAUCUCAUGAGUACCCUGGACAGAAGAAGAGCACAGGCAAUUCUUAUUAGGUUUGCAACAUUUGGGGAAAGGAGACUGGCGUGGUAUAUCAAGAAAUUACGUUCCUUCAAGGACUCCAACUCAGGUAGCUAGCCACGCACAAAAGUACUUUAUUCGUCAGAGCAAUGCAAAUAGAAAAAAGAAAAAAGCCAGCCUCUUUGACAUCGUGCCAGACAAGGAGAAAAAUUCAUCAACUCCAGAACAGUUUAGCUUCCCAUCUCCUGUACUUGGUACCAACAAUGAAAACCUCAUGCUUUCUUCAUCUCAAGAGGAAGAUAUGAUCAACUCACCUUCCCUUGAUCUCUCCCUCAAGCCCGCUUUUAUGCCCUUUCCAUUUCAACUAUGGCCACCAAAUGCAUAUUUUCCCAAGGAUGAUGGAGCAGGAACAUCUCAUAAUCGAAUCAUCGGGCCAGAGUCAGUUGUUCCUGAAGGACAAGAACUGGUAAGCAUGUCCCAGCUGACUUUAGGAGACACCAGCAUUGUCCAAUUCGAGUCUUUGCCACUCUCGCUAAGGCUACCUGGGAAUCCGUAGAGGCAAAUCAGCAUUUUGUUCAAGAGCUUCAUCAACAGUACAGACUCAAGCAAGAAUUGAAAUUUGCUAUAAAUGAUUGGUCUUCAACUCUGAGGCAAGGAGACUCGUGGUUGUCCUCGAGAAACAAAAGUCACAUAAUCCACAACUCCAACUGAGCUGGCAACCAUGCAAAGAGAUCAUCUGUGUUGUGGUUUCUAGAAUACCACGGAAAAAAGAUUAUUGCCACGAAUGCUCAGUUUCCACAAGCCAGGGAAAGGAGACUGGCAGGGGAUAUCAAGCUGUGAAACUUACGUCAAGUCCCGGAAUUCAAUCCAGUAGAUAACCAAGACCGGAUGCAUAAAUUAGCAAGACAUUCCUUCUCGUAGAAAGAAGAGAAUGAACCUGGUUAACAUGGCCCCAGAAGUGAUGGAUGGCUUUCCAUGUCACUCUUGCUUGCUUGGCUACUUUCGGUGCAACUUCUUUCUCAACAAGGUCCUUUCACAAUUAGUCGAGGUCUCUCACGGUCCAAAAAUGUCUCAAGAAACUGGAAAGGAGGGCUGGAUCUUGCAGUAGCUUCCCCACAUUCGACCAUCUCUUGUUUACACCUUUCAACUGUGUUCAUCAGAUGCAGACCCUAAGAGGAUGAUGAAGCAGGCAUGGAUAUAUUACGAUCAGAUCCUUAAGCUGAAGGACCUGCAGGUGGGAAGCGUUGGUCUUCAUAGGCUUGUCCCAGCUGAGCCUCUGGGAGAGUUUUAUGGAUUUCAUCAAACUUUAUACUGGCCACGAUAAAGCAUGUGAUGCAACUUCCCAACAAGGAAACAUGGGACACAUUCUUAACUCAUUCCAACUUUACAAGCUUUUCAUUUUUGUUGAUCAUGCAACCCGCUUGAUGUUUUCUUACUUUUGGUUGUAUUUGGAUUAAAGGAUUUAGAGAUGUAGCUUCAAAUUCAAAUUUUCAGAAAUACUAAUUUUGCAUCUCCGUUCAAAUGCUUCCACUUUUCUAGUUAUUUUUCUUUUUCCAAAAGAAAAAAAAUAAUAAUAACUGUGUAGGAGUUCACUACCCAAUCAUUCGGGAUUCAACUACAUUUUACAUUCAACCACCUUAUAGCGUCUGCAAACGAUUCGUGAAUCUGUAAGUACAAGAAAACUGUAAGAAACGAAGGUUAGGACCAGAAAACAUGAGAAAA